rnacentral:rRNA from 1 species
AGUGAACGCUGGCGGUAGGCCUAACACAUGCAAGUCGAACGGCAGCACAGUAAGAGCUUGCUCUUACGGGUGGCGAGUGGCGGACAGGUGAGGAAUACAUCGGAAUCUACUUUUUCGUGGGGGAUAACGUAGGGAAACUUACGCUAAUACCGCAUACGACCUACGGGUGAAAGCAGGGGAUCUUCGGACCUUGCGCGAUUGAAUGAGCCGAUGUCGGAUUAGCUAGUUGGCGGGGUAAAGGCCCACCAAGGCGACGAUCCGUAGCUGGUCUGAGAGGAUGAUCAGCCACACUGGAACUGAGACACGGUCCAGACUCCUACGGGAGGCAGCAGUGGGGAAUAUUGGACAAUGGGCGCAAGCCUGAUCCAGCCAUACCGCGUGGGUGAAGAAGGCCUUCGGGUUGUAAAGCCCUUUUGUUGGGAAAGAAAAGCAGCAGGUUAAGACCCCGCUGUUCUGACGGUACCCAAAGAAUAAACACCGGCUAACUUCGU